AGCACACGCGCACCCUCCCCACACCCCACACCGCACUCCUCCCAUCUCCAUCGGACACGGCCGACAAGGGUAGGCGCCGCGCGUUUUUGUUUCUGCGCAGUGGAGUACGGCAAGAUUCUCUGUCUCCCUCCCUUUUGUGCUCGCUGGCUCACCGCCAUCGUAUCCACCACCACCACCACCACCACCACCCCUAUUUCUCUCUCUUCGGGCCAUGCAAGGAACUUUGUUUUCCGUGAACGUGCUGCGAAGUCCUUUUGGGGUGCGUGGGGCACACUUGGUGCCGCCGCCUGACGCCGAGGUGGCUGUGGGGAAGGUGUCGACUGUCACAGAUGCCAAGGUGACGGAUAGCUAUGCGCAGGUGCUGCCGCUGCACACGCCCGUUGGCCGUACGACACGUCAGAGCUACGCGGUCUCUGGUACUCGCGGGAUCCAGCAGUUGGUCGCCAACACGCGCAGCGCCUCUUUCUCGGCGCCGUCCACUCUUGUGGCAGCUCAGCGAGUCAACAGCAGAGGGCACUGCAUGCCAUCUGCCACGCCGCAGCUGCAGGUCAUCUCAAAGCACGAGAAGGGCCGCCUGCUGGUGUGGAAUGGCCUCACCGGCGCCGUCGUCGCCGCCUGUAUCUUUCCCCCGACGUUCAAUGUGGAUCACUGCGCAGUCGCGGCGUCGUAUGUAUACACGACCGUGGAAGGCUCGGCGGUCAAAUCUGUUGCGGAGGAGGAGGCUUGCGUGUAUGUAUGGUCCCGCUCCACCCUUCGCAGUGUCACGGUGCUGAGAGGGCAUAGCGGCCGCUUGACCGCCUUGGGGGUGUGGCCGAUGGAAACCUCGACGCUUAUCGCGACGGCAAGCCUCGACGGCACGGUGCGACUCUGGCGCCAUCAGCACAGCCCAGGGCCCUGGGACGGCGCGGUCGCUAACGAGGACCCGGUGCAGCUUUUGUGGGUGUUAGCCACAGCGGAGCUGGGGAGCGUGCACUCGCUGAAGUUUCUUGCAGCAGACACCGUGGUGGCAGCCGCUACUCGCUGCGCACUGGCUUUUGUUCGCUUUCCUGAUGCACCGGCGAAGCGGAAGGGCCGGGGCAGCAUGGUGAGCAUGGGAAAGGCCGACGCUCUCGCUUUCCAAAUGGUGCGGUCCAUCGUCGAUCCGAACGGUGGCACUACCUUCCUGCAUGUGUGCCCAUACAACCGCACCAGUGGCGGGGUGGUGGCGGUGACUCCCGCGUUAGGCAACUUUAGUCUGUCCUCCCUCGCUUCCUCUUCGCCAGCUCGAGUCAGUGCCGCAGCGCCCGUGUCGGAGUCGUCUACAGUGUACCUCCUGACCGGCAGCACCAGCGGGUACAUGCAGGAGUGGACGGUGGAUGUGGAGAACACGGCAUCUGCAGAGGCGCCGCCGAAGCCGGCUGCCUCGUCCGCCGAGCCUGUGUACGUCGACAUCAAGUGCCGCUGGCACCACAAAGCGCACUCUGCCACGGUGGACUGCGUCGUCACGGACGAGGAUGUCGUGGUAAGCACGAGCCUGUUCGACCGCGCCAGCAUCUACCACCGCACUAGCGGUGCCACCUGCGCCAUCGCCAGCACCGCGGCGAUUCCCGUGCUCGUGCCGCAGCUGAAGGAGCUCGUGUGGGGCACCAUCGACGGUACGCUGAGCGUCGCGAGCUACGCGCGCUUUGCGUCUGGGGUGGAGAAUGAGCUGCAGCUGCUGUGGACGGCCAGGCCGCACGCGACGGCGAUCCGCGGAGUGUGCUUGUCCUUGACACCCGACCUCCGCUGGGACACCCUCUGCACCGGUGCAGCCGACGGGUCUAUGUGCGUGUGGAGGGCCAUGCCGGAGUCGGGGCGGACGGCGGCUGGCAGCACCGCAGCAAAGAAGGAGGGCGCUGCGCCAUUGAUUGCCCACCUCUUGCACGUAUUCGCUCUGCCACCGAACACUGUGGAGAAAGGGGAUGCUGAUGGGAAGCGGGUGGCGGCCGUGGUGGCGGGGCUGAAGGCAUCCACCGCCGGCACACAAGGUGCCAUCAUUGUCGUGGAGCUGGCAGCCACUGGAGAUGUUGGCCAGGUUGCCGCCGUGCUCCUCAAGGACAACGUAGAGGUGUCGUGCGCGCACCUGUGCCGCGGCGACAAGGGCACCCUCUCCCUCUGGGUCGGGACGCGCUGUGGUCAGCUGUUGCACGCUCUCCACAAACCGGCGCAGAAGGUCUGGACAGCGCUGAUGCCGGUGCAGUGGGAUGGCAAACCGAACGGCAGCGUGGUCGCCAUCGCAGAUGACGCCGGAUCGUCGUCCAUCAUGGUGGCUGUUGCCGAAGCGCCCGACGCGAGUCGGGCGUCGCAACGCCUGUUCCUCUCCGCGCUUCAGCUGGAGCCCGGGGCGACGGUGAAGACGAUGCUCUCACGAUGGGAAAGUGAUAUUGCCCUUCCUUGCACUGUAUACGCCGCCAGCCACCGCGAGCGCACGUUCGCCAUGACAUGGGUGAGCAAGGUGCUCUCGGGCGAGCAAGCCUCUCCGCGUGCCAUCAGUGGGCUGCUCGUGUGUUGCAGCGACGGCACCAUGGUGCGCUGUUUGCGCACUAGCAUGGCCGAUGCUGCCCCUUCUGUAGGCCCUUGGAGCACACCCGAGGUACUCGUCAUGGCGGCGGCGUCGGGGCAAGCAAACACCAUUCAGCGCAAUUUCGACGAGUCGCCGUCCUUCUCGGCCACAGCGGUGGCCUCGCCAAGUCGAAACUCCGAUCUUCUCUGCGUCGACAUGUUUGAGAACAGCAAGCGAUUACUGAUGCCGUCGAAGGUGCGGACGACGCAGCUGACAGCGAUCCUGUGCGACGUUGGGACAGAGAGGGUGCGGCUGGCGGCGGUGCGGCAAGAAAAGCCGGAUGCCGCGAGCGAAGUGGCACUCUUCGACAACGCGGGUCGGGAGUUUGGUCGCGUAACGCACGACGGCGCCGUGUUGCACAGCAACGACGUGUCUGCAGCAUCUGCCUCGAAAGGACCGAUCAGCUAUACACCCAAAGUGCAGGGGGCGUCCCUGCGUCGGUCCUCGACGGCGGCAGUGGCCACGGCAGCCGAAGCUGCCAACUGCACCGCUAUCGCUGCACACGCGGGGGAUCGAAUCGCCUUCAUUGGCUACGAUGACGGUCUUCUGCAGAUGGUCGACACAGCUGACGUGUACGUCUUCUGUCGUCGCUGGGCAACGGACGCGACUGGCGUCGCGCGACGGAUCGUUGACGUGCGGUAUGCUGGCUCGGGGGUAGUAGUGGUGCUGUUAGCGAACCACCACCUCUGCAGUUUCGCUGUUCCCCCGCGUAGUCUACUCGACCAACCUUCGCUAUGAUGAGGACUUGAGCGUGUGUUUCGGUGCACUGGUUGGGUGGGAAGGCCUUCUUUUUUCCCGAUUGUGUCGUCCUGCGCGCUUCUGUAUGGCAUCGUUGCUUGUACAACAUAAUGAGGUGAACAAGUCACUCCUUCUUUUGUUUCAGCGUGUGCCCCUUGCUCUGCCCGUGCAACGCGAGCUGCACGCCACUCCACGCCCCUCCAGCCGGCCCCGUCACACCGGCCCACAUCGCCUGGCGCGAGGCAGCGGUAGGCAUACGCGGUACAGCACUGCGCCAACACAGUCACCUGGGUACGGCCUCCGUCCCAAGCGCUACACAGCCGCACCCUCCUUGAGAGUGGCGCAGGCUCCCUGCACCGCUGGGCAGAGUGAGGGCCCCGGAGGGGGAGGGAGAGGGGGGAGAUGUGUUCGAGCCACGCUGGCCGCUCCGACGCCACGCCCUCCACAACCUCGGCAGCGACAUCAGCAGCGAUACAUCGCUCUGACCUCCCCUACGUCGUCGGUGCUGGGCCCCGCCACCACCCGAGGUGGCUGGGGCAUUUGGCAGGGGUUUAGGGGUUGGGGGGGGGGCUGGCUCGCUUCCCCACAGCCACAAACACACACACACACACAGAGUGGGGUGCGUGCUGGGCCCUGCGACACGACGCACUGAGGGGUGCAACCUCCACCCCACCCCACCCCCUUCCCGCUCAUCCGAAUGGGCAGGUCACUCAUAAAAGGAAAAAGCCGAUGCCGUUUUCGUAAGAGGCUACAGCUUAUCACGACGCUCCCUCUCCUUUCUGUUUGUUUGUCUACCUCAUUACGUUCUUAGUUCGCUUUCUCUAUCCUCAUGUACACGGAGCUCUCCCCUCCCCCCUCCCUCCUCCUCCCCAAGCACACACACACACGCACACAUAGCAAUGAUAUAGAUAUGAUGAAGCACCUACGCCGUGGAACGUCCACCGCUUCGUCUCUCGCUGUCGCGCCUCCUCAGCGCAAAGGCGGCCCCGAUGUGGCAUCCUCUAUCCCUCCCUUCCCCUUAUCCUGUGCUGGUUCGCCUGCAAGUAAGCCGUUCACGAAUCAGCGCGGAUUGCGAGGGGCUGAGGGGGCAAUAUGUUCCCCUUUCCACCGAAUGCCUUCACGAUUUGCCUUCUCUCUGUUGUGACACCGGACAUGAAGUGGUGGAGGUGGUCAUCGGCUCGUCUUAUUUUGUCCUUCUUGUCUCUGCUUUUGCUCUGCUGCCCCCCCCUACUCCUCCUUUUCGCUGUCUCUCUAUCCCUCCACACUAG
rnacentral:misc_RNA from 1 species